GGAAUGAAGAGCUCAGAACCCAUUCUGUGAUUUCUAUCAGUGAUUAACAACUGAGUGCGAGCAGCUGGGGUGGGUGCCUGAAAGGUGAGCCAAAAGUGAGAGACAGAGGAGAAUUCCUAGCUGUAGAAACUGAAGGAACCUCCCAUGGUAGUGAUUUGAGAUGCACACAUCAGGGAGAAGAUAGCUGGCUUCUACUGUGAACCAGGUGUGAUACAGAAAGCCUUGAUGCUCAGCUGGGCAUUGCUGCGAUUGGGGGACCUUGCACACCUGAGGCAGCACAGCUGUUUUCACUUGGCCUGACUGCAGGAGGUGAUAAGAAGGGAAGCUGAGAUCCGUUUUGGACAGGAUGAAAGGAGGCAAGGGAGGAAGAAAUGGUGCUCAUUUUUAAGGUGACACCUACUAAUGCAAGGCUGGACACGAAAAUCAUCCCAAGCAAUAUCCCAUGUACAUGCAAACUAAUGAGAACCUGG
rnacentral:lncRNA from 1 species